UGACCUCGGAUCAGGUAGGGAUACCCGCUGAACUUAAGCAUAUCAAUAAGCGGAGGAAAAGAAACCAACCGGGAUUGCCUCAGUAACGGCGAGUGAAGCGGCAAGAGCUCAAAUUUGAAAGCUGGCUCCUUCGGAGUCCGCAUUGUAAUUUGCAGAGGAUGCUUUGGGUGCGGCCCCCGUCUAAGUGCCCUGGAACGGGCCGUCAGAGAGGGUGAGAAUCCCGUCUUGGGCGGGGUGUCCGUGCCCGUGUAAAGCUCCUUCGACGAGUCGAGUUGUUUGGGAAUGCAGCUCUAAAUGGGUGGUAAAUUUCAUCUAAAGCUAAAUACUGGCCGGAGACCGAUAGCGCACAAGUAGAGUGAUCGAAAGAUGAAAAGCACUUUGAAAAGAGAGUUAAACAGCACGUGAAAUUGUUGAAAGGGAAGCGCUUGCGACCAGACUCGCCCGCGGGGUUCAGCCGGCAUUCGUGCCGGUGUACUUCCCCGUGGGCGGGCCAGCGUCGGUUUGGGCGGCCGGUCAAAGGCCCCUGGAAUGUAGUGCCCUCCGGGGCACCUUAUAGCCAGGGGUGCAAUGCGGCCAGCCUGGACCGAGGAACGCGCUUCGGCACGGACGCUGGCAUAAUGGUCGUAAACGACCCGUCUUGAAACACGGACCAAGGAGUCUAACAUCUACGCGAGUGUUCGGGUGUCAAACCCGUGCGCGCAGUGAAAGCGAACGGAGGUGGGAGCCCCCUUGCGGGGCGCACCAUCGACCGAUCCUGAUGUCUUCGGAUGGAUUUGAGUAAGAGCGUAGCUGUGGGGACCCGAAAGAUGGUGAACUAUGCCUGAAUAGGGCGAAGCCAGAGGAAACUCUGGUGGAGGCUCGCAGCGGUUCUGACGUGCAAAUCGAUCGUCAAAUUUGGGUAUAGGGGCGAAAGACUAAUCGAACCAUCUAGUAGCUGGUUCCUGCCGAAGUUUCCCUCAGGAUAGCAGUAACGCAAAAUCAGUUUUAUGAGGUAAAGCGAAUGAUUAGAGGCAUUGGGGUUGAAACAACCUUAACCUAUUCUCAAACUUUAAAUAUGUAAGAAGCCCUUGUUGCUUAGUUGAACGUGGGCAUUAGAA
rnacentral:rRNA from 1 species